UGUAGUUUUUGAUAAACUCAGUAAACUCCUUUUUUGUGUAUGUAGCAAGUAGAACAUUAGUACAACCACUUGCGUAAUGCAGUGACGUUAAACCGUCAGGUCAAGGUUUAAUUAAAAGUCCCAGCCACUGAAGAGUCAUUCAUGGAGGAGUGACAUUUUACCAGCUUGCCUAUCCUGGGCGAGGGAUCCUGAUACAGCAGUAACACAUUAUGGAGGGCAGAGGCUCCAGCCCAACUGCAGAUUAGAGAAUUUCCCUGGGCAGCCGUCUACAUAUGAAAGUUCCAGAUUGACAUCAAUGCUUGUGGACGUAGAAAUUGUUGACAUCAGUGGUACCUGCAAGUGUUGGCUGAAGAUGAACGCUCCUCUGGCACAUUUCUGACAGCAUUUCCAUUCUAGAGUGUCUAUCACAUUACAUAGGCUAUAAAAGUAUAUGACAUCUUAUAUGAAUGAAUAAAAAAUUUGCAUUUCAAA